rnacentral:rRNA from 1 species
AUACGGGGGGUGCAAGCGUUAAUCGGAAUUACUGGGCGUAAAGCGCGCGUAGGCGGUUAAAUAAGUUGGAUGUGAAAUCCCCGGGCUCAACCUGGGAACUGCAUUCAAAACUGUUUAACUAGAGUAUGAUAGAGGGAAGUGGAAUUCCAGGUGUAGCGGUGAAAUGCGUAGAUAUCUGGAGGAACAUCAGUGGCGAAGGCGACUUCCUGGAUCAAUACUGACGCUGAGGUGCGAAAGCGUGGGGAGCAAACAGAAGUAGAAACCCCGGUAGUCC